UUCCGGUUGAUCCUGCCGGAGGUUACUGCUAUCGAGGUUCGACUAAGCCAUGCGAGUCGAAUGUAGCAAUACAUGGCGAACUGCUCAGUAACACGUGGACAACCUGCCCUUAGGUUGGGUAUAAACCCGGGAAACUGGGUAUAAUACCCGAUAGGUCUCGAUUGCUGGAAUGCAUCGAGAUUUAAAGCUCCGGCGCCUAAGGAUGGGUCUGCGGCCUAUCAGGUAGUAGUGGGUGUAGCGUACCUACUAGCCUACGACGGGUACGGGUUGUGAGAGCAAGAGCCCGGAGAUGGAUUCUGAGACACGAAUCCAGGCCCUACGGGGUGCAGCAGGCGCGAAAACUUUACAAUGCUGGCAACAGCGAUAAGGGAACCUCGAGUGCCAGGUUACAAAUCUGGCUGUCGAGAUGCCUAAAAAGCAUUUCAUAGCAAGGGCCGGGCAAGACCGGUGCCAGCCGCCGCGGUAACACCGGCGGCUCGAGUGGUAACCGUUAUUAUUGGGUCUAAAGGGUCUGUAGCCGGCCGGAUAAGUCUCUUGAGAAAUCUGGCAGCUUAACUGUCAGGCUUUCAGGAGAUACUGUCUGGCUCGAGGCCGGGAGAGGUGAGAGGUACUUCAGGGGUAGGGGUGAAAUCUUGUAAUCCUUGAAGGACCACCAGUGGCGAAGGCGUCUCACCAGAACGGACCUGACGGCAAGGGACGAAAGCUAGGGGCACGAACCGGAUUAGAUACCCGGGUAGUCCUAGCCGUAAACGAUACUCGCUAGGUGUCGGCCACGGUGCGACCGUUGUCGGUGCCGUAGGGAAGCCGUGAAGCGAGCCACCUGGGAAGUACGGCCGCAAGGCUGAAACUUAAAGGAAUUGGCGGGGGAGCACCACAACGGGUGGAGCUUGCGGUUUAAUUGGAUUCAACGCCGGGA
rnacentral:rRNA from 2 species